UUAAUUGGCUUCCUUUUCUAGACCUCGGUUUCCUCAUCUGUAAAAUUAGAGGCUUGUGCUUAGAGGAUCUCAGAGAUCUCUUCUAGCUCUAAAUUCUGUGAUCUUAAGAAGGAAUAGAUAGGAUAAAUGAAUCAGGAAAUGGAAAGCUCCAUAGGUCUGGAGCCCACCUCUCCCUCAAUUGAACUUUGGGUAAUCUGCACCCAAUUUCUGGGCUUGCUGCUGUGCCUUGAGAACCCUAAAAACACCCCAAAUCUCAGAAGUUGGAGAACAAAGUUUGAGCUCAGCUAAAACUUCCAAUGUCCAAGGCCCUUAAUUCUCUUGUCUAAAAAGGAGUGGGAGGAAAUGCCCUCUGCGGUCACUCCUGGUCCUAAAUUCUAUGGUCCUGAAAUCCAUUUUGCCAAAUCUCUCAAACCAUUUUCCUGUGCGUCAAGUCCAGCCUUGAAUAAUAGAGAUAAUUACACCCCCACUUUGGGGCUGGGAGGGUAAAAGACCCGUUGAUUGGAGCGGUAUUCAGCUUGAGAAGAAAAGGUCCUUACAAACAACAGGCAGCUGAUUUCUCCUACACAGUCACUUCCAGCCUGUUUGCUAUUGUGUAGUUUGGUUAAAUGGGGGUCUGGGAGUGAAUGCCCCCUGCUAGAGCUCUUAAGCACAAACUCUUUAAGCAGCGAGGGAGAGAAAGAGAGAGGUGUGUGUUAGGAACUUGAGUAAAGGGAAAUCAUGAAGCAGUCAUUUUCUGGUCAGCAUGGUGGCCAGGCCUGCUGGGAUGCUGGACAGAGUGAUGUUGGAGGAAGUUGUGUCCUGGAAACUGACUGUGGGGGCGGCCAUGGCAACAGCAUCUGACUUCCCCUGGAUCGUGCCUCUACACGUGCCCGUGGACCACUGGACGCUGUCCAAGAGGGCUCCUGUGAGAUCCUUUCGGGCAAGGCUUCUUAACCAGGGGCCCCCAGCCUGGACUUUAAGGGAUCCGUGAAUUUGGAAGGGAAAACAAAAUUACAUUUCUAUUUUCCCUAAUCUGAAUUGAAUAUUUCCUUCUGUUAUGAACCUGAAAACAUCUGAGACGGGGUCUCUAAUCUUCACCAGACUGCCCAAAGAAUGGGAUGGAUAGGGGUAUCUAUGAGCCAAAAAAGUCUUUAAGAAGCCUGCUUUAACCCAAUCCUUUCAUUUUACAGAAAUGACCUGAAGAAAGAUGAUUUCAAUAUCAGAUGUUCUCAUGAGAUACGAGUUCUGGGAGGUCAAGGUUAGCCCAGUGUAGGGUUAGCCUAAUACAAGGAUAGCCCAGUGCAAGGUGAGCCCAGUGUAGAAUUAGCCCAGUACAAGGAUAGCCCAGUGCAAGGUGAGCCCAGUGUAGGGUUAGCCUAAUACAAGGAUAGCCCAGUGCAAGGUGAGCCCAGUGUAGGGUUAGCCUAAUACAAGGAUAGCCCAGUGCAAGGUGAGCCCAGUGUAGAAUUAGCCCAGUACAAGGAUAGCCCAGUGCAAGGUGAGCCCAGUGUAGGGUUAGCCUAAUACAAGGAUAGCCCAGUGCAAGGUGAGCCCAGUGUAGGGUUAGCCUAAUACAAGGAUAGCCCAGUGCAAGGUUAGCCCAGUGUAGGGUUAGCCUAAUACAAGGAUAGCCCAGUACAAAAUUAGUCCAGUGUAGGGUUAGGCUAGUACAAGGAUAGCCCAGUGCAAGGUUAGCACAGUGUAGGCUUAGCCUAAUACAAGGAUAGCCCAGGACAAAAUUAGUCCAGUGUAGGGUUAGGCUAGUACAAGGAUAGCC